rnacentral:sRNA from 1 species
CCACCAAGAUUUAAUAACGAAAAUUUGCAGUUUAUGUACAAAAUUUUAAAACUGCAUACAGUUAAUAAGAUAAAUGUUAAGAAAAUACCGCAAAUAGUUACAUGUACAAACAAGUUACAAGUUACAACCAGUAGAACGAAAAAGACUGAGCGAGGUGUCACUUUCAGUUCAGUCUCUCAUCUUCUAGAUCUUCUAGUGUAGUCUGAUAGAUCAAAACAACCACACCAUUUAUUGUUUUCGUGUAACGUAACCUUCACAUUAAACUCUAGUUAGGAAUAUAUAUAUACUAACAAACAGGUGGCACUCUUAAUUAUAUAGCAGCGAUCAUCUCCGUCCCCGUUUUCUCCGUCAUACCUCCGUUAAGUUCACCUCCGUUAAGUUCCUCUUCCUCCUCCGCUUCCCACAUGAAGUGCGCGUACGAUCCCAGCACAGUGCUGAGCAUAAAAUAAACAAUUAUUAAUUGGUAAUAAUAAUUGUUAUUAUUAUUACUAUUGUUAUUUUCGUUAUUCUCUGUUUGGCUAUGGGAAAAAUGUGAGAUUAAGAUUAUACCAAUCAUCAGGAGCGGCGUGAAUGGCUUGGUCAAAGUAAGAUUUGGCUCUCGCUUCGUCUCGCUGCGUUUCCCAUAUCAGCGCUCCGUACAGCGAAAGCAAUUCGCCAUCGCUAGGGUUCGCGAGAAUCGCUCUUCCGUAAUAUUCCUCUGCUCUCGUCGCGUCUUUCUCCACCUGCAUCAUCCGUUAAAAUUAAAAUCGCUGACUCUUUGUUUUCAUUGAAUGAAUCAAUGAUCGUGCUUCGUUUGCGGAAUGUUUCACGCACCUCGUGGAGGAAUUUGCCGUAGUUUCUCAGCAGAAGCGCGUCCGUCGGGUUCGACUUCAACAUCUCUUCGUAGUACGCAUCUAUUUUCAUCCUCUCGCCAUCGUUUCCGCCUGUGACAGUCGCAUCGCCGUGAUCGUCACCGUCGCCGCCUCCGGAUUCCAUAUCCUCCCGUAGGAUCCCGAGGUAGCUCGGCUUGUGUAAAUUGGCGUCGCAGAAGAAUUGUUCUUCGUGAGGUAUGAUCGGCGGGGGCGGGGGCGAGUACGAUCCGGUGCGGUUCAGAUUACGGCGAACGCCGAAAUUCUCGGGGGCACCUUCCGAUGAGGCUCUCUUGAUCCCGUUCUGAGGUGCGUCCCUGCGGGCGUUGAAGUGGGAAUAGUGCAUUGAAAUCGUGGAAAAUUUCGCGUGGUUCUUGUCGCCGGGUAAAGAGGUUUGGCGCGUGAGAGAACAUUGAGGUGAACCGUGGAAAACCGGGUUCUGGAUCGGCAGCGACCCGGUUCGGAUGAGAGAAGCUCUCAUGGUUUUGAUAAAUUGAAAAGUUGACUGUUGAAAGAGCGAUCAAUCCCUGACUUCUAAAAGUGGAGACGAAUCCCUUUAUAUAUCUCGUGUUGAAUGGUGCUGCCAAACGAACGUACUUUAUUUGAUCGAAUAUUGGCCGUUGGAUGCGAGGAAAGCCCGACCCAAGUGAGCACCGUAUUACGACACGUGUCAGGUUACAUAAAUCCGACAGACAGGAAAGCAGUAAUGGCAUGGUGGGUGUGAUUUUCCAUGUUCUCCAAUGGUUUUCCUGAAAUACAGACAACUGAGUGGAGAAGUCAAUUUCGAAAGGAUAUACAGAGGGUCGCUUUAUAACAGUGAAUCUACCACUAUAUGCUUUACAUUGGGUCGGGUCCUGCCCGGCCCACAUUUGGCCCACCAUGGCCAGUGGAG